GCCUUCGUGGUGUAGUGGUCAGCACGCUGGACGCGUAUUUCAGAGUUCCGUGGUUCGAAUCCCGGCGACAGCU
rnacentral:tRNA from 1 species